UACGGGGGGGGCAAGCGUUGUCCGGAAUUACUGGGCGUAAAGGGCGUGUAGGCGGCCAACUAAGUCCGACGUGAAAUCCCCAGGCUUAACCUGGGAACUGCGUCGGAUACUGGAUGGCUUGAAUCCGGGAGAGGGAUGCGGAAUUCCAGGUGUAGCGGUGAAAUGCGUAGAUAUCUGGAGGAACACCGGUGGCGAAGGCGGCAUCCUGGACCGGCAUUGACGCUAAAGCGCGAAAGCCAGGGGAGCAAACGGG
rnacentral:rRNA from 1 species